CAGCCGCCGCGGUUAACACCGGCGGCCCGAGUGGUAGCCGCUAUUAUUGGGUCUAAAGGGUCCGUAGCCGGUUCGAUAAGUCCUCUGGGAAAUCUGGUUGCUUAACAAUCAGACUGCCAAGGGAUACUGUCGAACUUGAGACCGGGAGAGGUAAGAGGUACUUCAGGGGUAGGAGUGAAAUCUUGUAAUCCCUGGGGGACCAUCUGUGGCGAAGGCGCCUUACCAGAACGGGUCUGACGGUGAGGGACGAAAGCUGGGGGCGCAAACCGGAUUAGAUACCCGGGUAGUCCCAGCCGUAAACGAUGCUCGCUAUGUGUCAGGUACGGUGUGACCGUAUCUGGUGCCGUAGGGAAGCCGUGAAGCGAGCCACCUCGGAAAGUACGGUCGCAAGACU
rnacentral:rRNA from 1 species